GAUGAACGCUGGCGGCGUGCCUAAUACAUGCAAGUCGAGCGAACAGACGAUGAGCCUGCUCCUCUGACGUUAGCGGCGGACGGGUGAGUAACACGUGGAUAACCUACUUAUAAUUCUGGGAUAACUUCGGGAAACCGGAGCUAAUACCGGAUAAUAUAUUGAACCGCAUGGUUCAAUAGUGAAAGACGGUUUUGCUGUCACUUAUAGAUGGUUCCGCGCCGCAUUAGCUAGUUGGUAAGGUAACGGCUUACCAAGGCGACGAUGCGUAGCCGACCUGAGAGGGUGAUCGGCCACACUGGAACUGAGACACGGUCCAGACUCCUACGGGAGGCAGCAGUAGGGAAACUUCCGCAAUGGGCGAAAGCUUGACGGAGCAACGCCGCGUGAGUGAUGAAGGUCUUCGGAUCGUAAAACUCUGUUAUUAGGGAAGAACAAAUGUGUAAGUAACUAUGCACGUCUUGACGGUACCUAAUCAGAAAGCCACGGCUAACUACGUG
rnacentral:rRNA from 1 species